rnacentral:rRNA from 1 species
GCCUUAGCUAUAACUAAUUGUUCGCCAAAUAACUACGAGUGAAAACUUAAAAUUUAAAAGACUUGACGGUACUUCACACCAACCUAGAGGAGCCUGUCUAACAACCGAUAACCCACGAUUAACCCAACCACCCCUAGCCAACAGUCUAUAUACCGCCGUCGCCAGCCUACCUUGUGAAAGUUAAAGUAGGCACAACAGCUUACACUAAUACGACAGGUCGAGGUGUAACUAAUGAGGUGACAAGAUGGGCUACAUUUUCUAACAGAACAGAAUAGACCAUGAAACGGAAACUGAAGGAGGAUUUAGCAGUAAGCCGAGAAAAAUACUCAACUGAAAUAUGCAAUGAAGUGCGUACACACCGCCC